CCAACAAAAUGAUGGGCCCUUCAAAACCUGGGGCACUGCAUUAACCAGGUGAGCCCCUGCCCCGACCAAGGCUAAUGGAGUAAGAGAAGGAAUGGGAGGUACUGGCAUGUAUAUCCUGAAUCUACCUGAACAAAGUGCUGCUGCUUGGCCUCCCUUGGCUGCAUAUGUCAACAGAGGAGCUAAUGGAAAUCCAUGAGGACAACUGGGGGAAUAGGGGACACUCUGAAGGCACCUGGCUCAGAACCACUGCCAUCCAAGGAGCGAGGAGUCCCAGGGCUGAGCAAAUGCAGGGGGGAGGUCGGCAGUUCCCCUGCUUCCCGAUCCUCAUUUUCUGCUUCACUUGACUCCUCCAGAUAGGAGCUGCUCUCACUGCCCACACUGCUGUUAUAACUCCGGAAACUAUCAUAGCCACCAAACAGCUCCAAGUCGUCAUCUUCCUCUUCCUCCAUUGGUUCUGAAGACGGGGUCUCCU